rnacentral:sRNA from 1 species
GCUGGGUGUGGUGGUGCAUGCCUGUAAUCUCAGCAACUCAGGAGGCUAGAGCAGGAGGAUCACAAGUUUGAGGCCUGCUUCAACAACUCAGCAAGACCCUGCCU